rnacentral:rRNA from 1 species
CUACGGGGGGCUGCAGUGAGGGAUUUUGCACAAUGGGGGGAACCCUGAUGCAGCAACGCCGCGUGGAGGAUGACGCAUUUCGGUGUGUAAACUCCUUUUAUAUGUCAAGAAAAUGACGGUAGCAUAUGAAUAAGCACCGGCUAACUCCGUGCCAGCAGCCGCGGUAAUACGGAGGGUGCAAGCGUUACUCGGAAUCACUGGGCGUAAAGGACGCGUAGGCGGGUUGGAAAGUCAGGUGUGAAAUCCUACAGCUUAACUGUAGAACUGCACUUGAAACUUCUAAUCUAGAGUAUGGGAGGGGGAGAUGGAAUUAGUGGUGUAGGGGUAAAAUCCGUAGAUAUCACUAGGAAUACCUAAAGCGAAGGCGAUCUCCUGGAACAUUACUGACGCUAAGGCGUGAAAGCGUGGGGAGCAAACAGGAUUAGAUACCCCCGUAGUC